AAGCCUGUCUCAGUUCGGAUUGGAGUCUGNAACCCGACUCCAUGAAGCUGGAUUCGCUAGUAAUCGCGCAUCAGCCACGGCGCGGUGAAUACGUUCCCGGGCCUUGUACACACCGCCCGUCAAGCCAUGGAAGCCGGGGGUGCCUGAAGUGCGCUGCCGCAAGGAGCGCCCUAGGGUAAAACCGGUGACUGGGGCUAAGUCGUAACAAGGUACC
rnacentral:rRNA from 1 species